rnacentral:sRNA from 1 species
GGUAUUCUAGUAUUUUUUAUGUCAUGCUGAUUAAGAUUUGAAUAAAAUUUAAAAUAAAACUAUACUAAUGAUAAUUUUAUUUUUAUGUUUGGUGUAAAACAAAGGUCCAUCCAAACGUAUCAAUAGGUGUUUUUAUUGAGCAACCAACCCCUUUUCUACCUCGGUUUCUGGACAUAUUGUUGACACUGGAUUACCCAAAAGAAGCACUUAAACUUUUUAUUCAUAACAAAGAAGUUUAUCAUGAAAAGGACAUCAAGGUAUUUUUUGAUAAAGCUAAGCAUGAAAUCAAAACUAUAAAAAUAGUAGGACCAGAAGAAAAUCUAAGUCAAGCAGAAGCCAGAAACAUGGGAAUGGACUUUUGCCGUCAGGAUGAAAAGUGUGAUUAUUACUUUAGUGUGGAUGCAGAUGUUGUUUUGACAAAUCCAAGGACUUUAAAAAUUUUGAUUGAACAAAACAGAAAGAUCAUUGCUCCCCUUGUAACUCGUCAUGGAAAGCUAUGGUCCAAUUUCUGGGGAGCAUUGAGUCCUGAU